rnacentral:lncRNA from 1 species
UUCUUUCCUAAACCUGAAAGUUGAUGGAGUUUCAACCCUGAAACUGUUACAAGUACUUAUUUUAACCUGAAGUUUGGUCCUGCCCACAAAAAUUAUUAAUCGGCCUUAGAACUGUCUAGCAGCUUUCAGUAAGGCAGAGAGACACAGGCUGGAUGUUUUGGCGCAGUCAUAAUCCUAGGAUUUUCAGUCGACUCUGUUUCAGAGAGAGCUUCUGGAGGCCAGGAAGAGAAUAAUCAUUCACUUUCUGUGUUUCGUGUAUAAAUAGGAUAUGAAGUAUAAUUUUGCCAUUAGGGUAGAUUUUUUUAUUUUCUCCCAAUAAAAUUAUGAGAUAUGCUUUCUAGUUAUUGUCCUGAAGAUUGAACAGUGACAGAUCUUUCCUUAUAAAGUAUAAGAGCCCUUGGGUUUAAAAUUGAAACAAAGCAUAGCGAG